rnacentral:lncRNA from 1 species
AGAGCUUCAACCUGCUCAGGUGUAUACCGAACAUACUUCCCAUUAUCAUCAACUGACUUACCAUCCUUGCAGGACAUUGACAUUAUUUUUUCUUAUAAUCCACCCUUUUACACAACAGUUCCAAAAUAUGAGUAAUCAACAAAUCAAGAUUCACAGCUUUCCCCCUUCUUCACAACAGUACAAACACUUGCAUCAAAACACAACUUUUUCUUGGUAAUAGUAAAAGAAAUGGUCCCAAAAAUAUUGAGUAACUGAAAUAUGAGUAAUCAAGAUUCACAGCUUUCCCCCUUCUUCACAACAGCACAAACACUUGCAUCAAACCACAACUUUUUCUUGGUAAUAGUAAAAGGAAUGGUCCCAAAAAUAUUGAGUAAACAACAAAACAAGAUUCACAGCUUCCCUCCUUCUUCACAACAAUUCAAACACUUUUUUCCCAAAAAUCAAGAUUCUUGAUGUGGAAACAAAUAAGCAGACAACCAAUUACCAAAACGAAACGGCACCAUCCUCAGCAUCAAGCACAAGAAAACAUAUAUCUAUCGAAUUCAGAGCUCCCAAGAACUAAACAUACAUUUUCACUAAUACCAAGAUCAAUUAAAUACACCAUUAUUCCAUAAAAAGUUGUUCUUUUCUUCCUCACUAUAAAGAUUUGCAAGCUUCAUUUCCUCUACCAUCCACGUACCAAACAGUAAAGUACCAAACUUUAAACUUAGGUAUUUACCAAAAAGAUCCAAAUUUUAAGCUUUUGAAAACAUAAUGAGCAAAACCCAGAAAGCAAAUCUUCAUAGCUAUGAACUUCCCUCUUUCACUUCUUUCCAAUAUUCAGCAUCUUUAAGGGAAGAUUUUAGGUAUGACAGAUGUUGGAUCAAGAAAAUGAACUGAUUUGGGGCAUAUGUUAGGAAAAACUACAAACUUGGGAUAAGUACUGUAUUUGGGAGGUGAUGUGGUGGGGGAGUAUGGUUUUGCUUGGAUUGGGAAAGUGGCUUCGAGCUGUCACUCUUUUGCUGACUGCCGAGCUGUACCAGAUAUGGAAUAUCGACGUCGCUACCACCAAUAUUCAAAUUAUGCAACAUGUAUACG